GUUCUUGGAGCACUGUUUAAUAACAAGUUUGGAUAUUUACCCUUUCCUCCCCUCUCUUGCCAUGUGGAUUGUUCGGAAACUAGGCCUAGGGUAGGCCAAAGCAAUAUUUAUUGUAUUAAAGAAUGUUGAAACUUUACCUUGAUAUCUACGAUUUUGUUCAAUAGUGGAAAUUAUUUCAAGAAUUAUCUUAACAAUAUGAAGGAAAUUGAGAGUGAUCUUCAAGCCAUGAAUACACCACCACCGACCUUGCAGCAGGAAAACACAGGCACACAUUUGUUGUGGAUUGUGAAAACAAGCAAUCAGUAAGAGUUUGGUAUUGCAUGAAGCAGAUAACUAAUUGGAAGUGCACACUGAUUUGUUGGAAGCUUGGAUAAAUCAGGGAGUUGUUACCAAAGAAGCCGAUGUACUGUGGCAAACUGACGCUGAUAUAAAUAAGGUUGAGCAAAUAAAAGGAAUUGUGGGAAAUCAGGACUGAUUAGUUUGAACCCUGGAAGCCGAACCUUAGCAAAGUCGGACUUUGAGAUAAGUGUGUGAAGUCAAAUUUCAACGUAUAAUAAUGAAGCAGUGAACUUUAAUAAAAAUAGACUGAUUUGUUUGAAUUAUACUGGUACCUGAAGCUUAGUGAACUCUGAUGUACGAAGCAGAUAAAAUGUGGAAAGGCAUUUGUUGUGCAUUCAUAGAAUGAAUGAUUAUGACUGUUAGCCAUGUAGAGAUUGUGGUCUACUUCAUUAAGUUAGUGCUGGCCUUUCAAAAUGCUGAUGUUUUUGUCCGAUUCUGGACCUAGUUAAAUAGAAUGUUGGUCCGAUUCUGAACUUAAUUUAAAUGGCUUAUAGAUAAAAUUCUGAACUUUAGUUAAAAUGUUGGUUCAAUUCUGGUAUGUACAGUAGUGUAAAUUAUUGUUCCUAUUCUGGGCUUAGUUAAAGUCCUGGACUUAGUGUAAAAUGUUGUCCAAUAGUUAAAAUUCUGGAAUUGGUGUAACUAAUUGUCCUAUUGUA